AAAAACUUGAUUAAACACAUCGCAAAAUGGGGAGGGCUAGAUGCGAAAUUUCCCCACUCAGGGCCAGAACGCGCGGAUCCCCCCUCCGGGUCGGGUCGACGCGCGGGUCAUGGCACCCUAAACGGCGCCGUUUCGUCUUGUUUUAAAAACUCCUAAAUCUGACUUUCUUUGAUUUGAAACUGGAAAGAAAAAAAAAACCCUAGGGGUUUUGUUUUCUCCCCCGAGCCGCUUCCAGUCGAUCCGGCCGAUCCGAAUCUCGGCCCCAAAUCCGGCUCCGAUUAAGACGAAGCAGACAUGGUUUUCAAUGGCGCAACCACGUAGGUAAUAUUCCUUUUUUUUAUUUUUUUUUGUUUAACACACAAAAAUCGGUAAAUAAAUUAAGCAAACAAAGAAGAGAAAACAAAACUAAGAAGAACGUUACCUCUUUUAUUUCACUCUUUUUUCGAUUUUCAGUAUUCCCCCCCCCCCCUAUUUACAUAUUGAAGUUGGCCUUUUAUAGCCAAAAUGGAAAUGAAAAGUUCUCUUUGUUGUGUUUUUGUUGCUGCAGGUAAUGCGUGCGGGGAAGGCGCGAGAUUCGUGGCGACGAGGAGCGCGAUGUGCGGGCGCGACGCGCGGGAGUAGUUGCAGCACCAGUUACUGCGGCGCUGAAGCAGAAGCUUGUUUAGGGUUUCUGCAAUUUUGAUGUUUUUUGGGCUAGGGUCUGAAAAUUAGUUGUUGAGCCUGUUAAUGGUUUGGGCCCGGGCAUUAUUGGGUUUUUACAAUUCCUCAAUUAUUUGGAUUAGAUUUAGAUUGAAAAACAAUCGACACUUGAUUUGAUUGUUUAAAUUUAUAAUAUUUAACUUGAGUGUGAAUGAAUUUUUUACUUAAUUAAAAUUUUAAAAUAGUAAGCUCGAGUCUUUUUUUUAAUUAUGUUUAUAUCAUGUAUAAAUUUUGUUCAAAUUUAUUUUGAUUUAAUUCUCAUACUAUAUAUUCUUAAUUAAAUUCGGAAUAUAUUCUGUUUAUCAAUUUAAUUAUACAUCGUAACAAUGGAUUUGGA
rnacentral:lncRNA from 1 species